rnacentral:rRNA from 1 species
GAUGAACGCUGGCGGCGUGCCUAAUACAUGCAAGUCGAGCGAACGGACGAGAAGCUUGCUUCUCUGGUGUUAGCGGCGGACGGGUGAGUAACACGUGGAUAACCUACCUAUAAGACUGGGAUAACUUCGGGAAACCGGAGCUAAUACCGGAUAGUAUUUUGAACCGCAUGGUUCAAAAGUGAAAGACGGUCUUGCUGUCACUUAUAGAUGGAUCCGCGCUGCAUUAGCUAGUUGGUAAGGUAACGGCUUACCAAGGCAACGAUGCAUAGCCGACCUGAGAGGGUGAUCGGCCACACUGGAACUGAGACACGGUCCAGACUCCUACGGGAGGCAGCAGUAGGGAAUCUUCCGCAAUGGGCGAAAGCCUGACGGAGCAACGCCGCGUGAGUGAUGAAGGUCUUCGGAUCGUAAAACUCUGUUAUUAGGGAAGAACAUAUGUGUAAGUAACUGUGCACAUCUUGACGGUACCUAAUCAGAAAGCCACGGCUAACUACGUG